UAGAGGGUGAUCAUGGACUGCGGACUGAUAAGACAAGGCAUCCAGGGGAAUGCUCGUCCAAGGCCGCCAACUCCAGGGAACGUCAGGAAACAAAGAGGCAUUUCCCCGCACAAACCCCUUAUGCGUUUAAGCCUGUCUUGCUGUGUACCUCUCAGAGGACAUUUGAGCCAAGGCUCGAAGCCAUGAAAGAGUGAGCCAUGUAGACAUCCCGUGUAGAGGGUCUGGACAGAGGCUAUAGCAAGUACAAAGGCCCAGAGAUGAGGAUAGCCACCAAAACUUUGCCUUGUGUGCACGAGGGGCACUGCUUGAGGAUCAAACGUCCGGUGUCAUCUCUAAGAGUAAAGGCCAAACCUGAUUCUCAAACCUGUUCACGCAAGGGAAAGAAUAGCUCCAAAAUCUGCUUUCCAACUCUUGACAACCACUGAUUUCACAAAGGCCGGCCCCGUUCUCCUAGCCUCCAAUGCCAAUCCUGUCAGGUAUCAGUAUAUGGCCUCUCGGCUCCAAAUCUACUCUUCAUGGCCUGCUUUGGGAGAAUGCAGCUGGGCCCUUUACGUGUUUUUCUUGGAAAGACAGAGCCGGGGAAAGAGGACUUCCUUCCUGGUUGCAGGUGCACAAAUGGCUUCUCCAGCACGAGGCUCCUGCCCUAGUGCUGGCCCACAGCACAGAGCCGCCAACAGCUUCCUCCAGCAGCCCCCUCAGGCAAGGCCCUAGCCGAAUGCCUCCCAUGAGGCCCCUCCCCUCGAACGUCUUUCUCGGCCCCCACAAGUGUGGCUUUCCAUAAAGUUCCAGAGUGCACCUUUCCCAUUAGUUCGUGGGUUUUUAUAUUAAACUUUGUCUCUUCGAAUCA